rnacentral:rRNA from 1 species
AGGACGAACGCUGGCGGCGUGCUUAACACAUGCAAGUCGAGCGGUAAGGCCUUUCGGGGUACACGAGCGGCGAACGGGUGAGUAACACGUGGGUGAUCUGCCCUGCACUUCGGGAUAAGCCUGGGAAACUGGGUCUAAUACCGGAUAUGACCUCCUAUCGCAUGGUGGGUGGUGGAAAGAUUUAUCGGUGCAGGAUGGGCCCGCGGCCUAUCAGCUUGUUGGUGGGUAAUGGCCUACCAAGGCGACGACGGGUAGCCGACCUGAGAGGGUGACCGGCCACACUGGGACUGAGACACGGCCCAGACUCCUACGGGAGGCAGCAGUGGGGAAUAUUGCACAAUGGGCGAAAGCCUGAUGCAGCGACGCCGCGUGAGGAUGACGGCCGUUCGGGUUCGUAAACCUUCUUUACAGUCGAGGACGAAGCGACGAAGU